UAAUACAGAGGGUGCGAGCGUUGUCCGGAAUCACUGGGCGUAAAGGGCGCGUAGGUGGCUUGCCAAGCGUGUGGUGAAAGCCCGGAGCUCAACUCCGGGUCGGCCAUGCGAACUGGCAGGCUAGAGCACGGUAGAGGCCAAUGGAAUUCCGGGUGUAGCGGUGGAAUGCGUAGAGAUCCGGAAGA
rnacentral:rRNA from 1 species